rnacentral:rRNA from 1 species
CGGGGAAUUUUGGACAAUGGGCGAAAGCCUGAUCCAGCAAUGCCGCGUGUGUGAAGAAGGCCUUCGGGUUGUAAAGCACUUUUGUCCGGAAAGAAAUCCUUGGCUCUAAUACAGUCGGGGGAUGACGGUACCGGAAGAAUAAGCACCGGCUAACUACGUGCCGGCAGCCGCGGUAAUACGUAGGGUGCAAGCGUUAAUCGGAAUUACUGGGCGUAAAGCGUGCGCAGGCGGUUUGCUAAGACCGAUGUGAAAUCCCCGGGCUCAACCUGGGAACUGCAUUGGUGACUGGCAGGCUAGAGUAUGGCAGAGGGGGGUAGAAUUCCACGUGUAGCAGUGAAAUGCGUAGAGAUGUGGAGGAAUACCGAUGGCGAAGGCAGCCCCCUGGGCCAAUACUGACGCUCAUGCACGAAAGCGUGGGGAGCAAACAGGAUUAGAUACCCUGGUAGUCCACGCCCUAAAACGAUGUCAACUAGUUGUUGGGGAUUCAUUUCCUUAGUAACGUAGCUAACGCGUGAAGUUGACCGCCUGGGGAGUACGGUCGCAAGAUUAAAACUCAAAUGGAAUUGACGGGGUCAUAGCUGUUUCCU